rnacentral:rRNA from 1 species
AGGGAAUCUUCGGCAAUGGACGAAAGUCUGACCGAGCAACGCCGCGUGAGUGAAGAAGGUUUUCGGAUCGUAAAGCUCUGUUGUAAGAGAAGAACGAGUGUGAGAGUGGAAAGUUCACACUGUGACGGUAUCUUACCAGAAAGGGACGGCUAACUACGUGCCAGCAGCCGUGGUAAUACGUAGGUCCCGAGCGUUGUCCGGAUUUAUUGGGCGUAAAGCGAGCGCAGGCGGUUAGAUAAGUCUGAAGUUAAAGGCUGUGGCUUAACCAUAGUACGCUUUGGAAACUGUUUAACUUGAGUGCAAGAGGGGAGAGUGGAAUUCCAUGUGUAGCGGUGAAAUGCGUAGAUAUAUGGAGGAACACCGGUGGCGAAAGCGGCUCUCUGGCUUGUAACUGACGCUGAGGCUCGAAAGCGUGGGGAGCAAACAGGAUUAGAUACCCUGGUAGUCCACGCCGUAAACGAUGAGUGCUAGGUGUUAGACCCUUUCCGGGGUUUAGUGCCGUAGCUAACGCAUUAAGCACUCCGCCUGGGGAGUACGACCGCAAGGUUG